CAGGCCAUAGCUUAAAACAGGAAAGCCCCUCUCUUACACUGAGAAGACAUCCGUGCGAAUCGGAUUGCCCUGA
rnacentral:tRNA from 1 species